GGUUAAGCGACUAAGCGUACACGGUGGAUGCCCUGGCAGUCAGAGGCGAUGAAGGACGUGCUAAUCUGCGAUAAGCGUCGGUAAGGUGAUAUGAACCGUUAUAACCGGCGAUUUCCGAAUGGGGAAACCCAGUGUGUUUCGACACACUAUCAUUAACUGAAUCCAUAGGUUAAUGAGGCGAACCGGGGGAACUGAAACAUCUAAGUACCCCGAGG
rnacentral:rRNA from 1 species